UCCAAGAAAGAGAAAAAGGAGAGAGAUUUUCUCUCUCUUUUUUCCCUUUUCUUGAGAACGACUCUCCCUCACUUUUUGUUCCUUCUGAAAUAAAAAAAGAAAUAUCAAUUAAUCAAUUAAUCAAUCAAUUAUAUUGAGCAUUCACAUUUUCCCAUCAAGUUUUUGAAACAAUUUUCUGUCUUUCCAAACUCUAAAGACAUGGCGAAGAAAUGGUUCUGCUGUAUGCGGUCGGGUGAUGCCGAUUGAUGAACUCUGUUUGCUCCUAGACACUGCAAUGGAAAGUAUAACUUUUUUGAAAACUUAUGCUAAUGGUGUUCCAGAAGACUGGAGCUGUAGUCAAGCUGUGAUGGAUCCUGCUGGAAUAAAACUUUGUUAUCUUAUAAUAUUACUCAGAUUACAGCUUUUUGCUACCAAAUCAUAUUGUGUUAUCGAUGUGUUUAAUUAUUUCUAAUCUUGAGUUUAUUAUUGUUACUGUUAGUUUACAAGUUUAACAGCUGAAGCUUGACAAAUUCCGAAAGGAGCUCGUUCUCUUUAUUUUGUUUCA